UACAGAGGUCCCAAGCGUUGUUCGGAUUUAUUGGGCGUAAAGGGUGCGUAGGCGGCGGAGUAAGUUGGGUGUGAAAUCCCGGGGCUCAACCUCGGAAUUGCAUUCAAUACUGCUUCGCUCGAGUACUGGAGAGGAGGCUGGAAUUUACGGUGUAGCAGUGAAAUGCGUAGAUAUCGUAAGGAAGGCCGGUGGCGAAGGCGGCUCACUGGGGGUUAUCUGACGCUGAGGAACGAAAGCCAGGGGAGCAAACGGG
rnacentral:rRNA from 1 species